UACGGAGGGGGCAAGCGUUGUUCGGAAUCAUUGGGCGUAAAGGGCGCGUAGGCGGCCGAUCAAGUCGGGUGUGAAAUCCCUCGGCUCAACCGAGGAACUGCACUCGAUACUGAUCGGCUCGAGUCCGGGAGGGGAUGGUGGAAUUCCCAGUGUAGCGGUGAAAUGCGUAGAUAUUGGGAAGAACACCGGUGGCGAAGGCGGCCAUCUGGACCGGAACUGACGCUGAGACGCGAAAGCGUGGGGAGCGAACAGG
rnacentral:rRNA from 1 species